UACGUAGGGGGCAAGCGUUGUCCGGAAUCAUUGGGCGUAAAGAGCGCGUAGGCGGCCCGAUAAGUCCGCUGUGAAAGUCAAGGGCUUAACCCUUGAAUGCCGGUGGAAACUGUCGGGCUAGAGUCCGGAAGAGGCGAGUGGAGUUCCUGGUGUAGCGGUGAAAUGCGCAGAUAUCAGGAGGAACACCCGUGGCGAAAGCGGCUCUCUGGGACGGUACUGACGCUGAGACGCGAAAGCGUGGGGAGCAAACAGG
rnacentral:rRNA from 1 species